CGAAAUGAACUCUGAUUGUGGUCAGCCACUGUCAGUUAGGCAUGAUUUAGUGGAAAAGUGAGCUCAGCCUGGUGGAUUACAAUACAUACGGAACAUUUAUGAGGAUCGAUGUGUCCAAGACCACACCUCAGAGCCGCUCCUUGUUAAGAAUCACCAGCGGCACUUGCUAGAGACGUGGAUUUCUGGGUUCUAGCCCAGAUGUUCUGCCUGGAUUCACAGGGAGAUGAUCCUGGGACUCUGGCUCCAGCAAGUCCCCAGGGGUUCUCAUGCUUGGAGAAGGAGAGCAAUUCUGCUGGAACAGAAUGGGGCACAUGUUAUAAAAAAGACCUGUGCACAAGGGCCCUAGAGGCCAGAUGGAGGUUGGGAGGCCUCAUCAGAGGAAAGGCAGUAUUGAUGUGAUUUAGUGAAAGGGAAAGGCUGUGCAGGAGUGAUGUCAGCAGGACAGUGGCCUAGGGUGCUGUAGACCCUUGCUCCUCUGUGGAAGCACCAGGCGAGGGGCAAUGCAUGGCUCCAGGUCGCCUAGUGGGAACUCCAGGAACUGGUUAAGGAUCUGCAGCAAUCACGCCAACUCCCAAUGAGGACAAAACCACACUCAAAGCAGCAGGAAAUGUUGUGGCAUUUGGCUCACCUCUGCCCCACCUCCUUCCCAGCACGGUCAGGAGGAGGCCACCCUACUCCUGGUACCUCCCUGGGGACACAAGGGAAAGACCGAAACAUGUUUACAGGGUUCUGGCUUGUCUGCGGGCUGCCUGUGGAACUGGUUUCUGUCCCACGCAUCUUGGAGUGUUGAUGCGAAGGGCAGCCUGCUUGGGAUAUCAGGAUGGAGACCCUGGGGGCAGUACUGACUGCUGCCAUAUGUCAGAGCUGCAGGGGGUACCAGGACAAG
rnacentral:lncRNA from 1 species